AUUGAACGCUGGCGGCAGGCCUAACACAUGCGAGUCGAACGGUAGCACAGAGAGCUUGCUCUCGGGUGACGAGUGGCGGACGGGUGAGUAAUGUCUGGGAAACUGCCUGAUGGAGGGGGAUAACUACUGGAAACGGUAGCUAAUACCGCAUAACGUCGCAAGACCAAAGAGGGGGACCUUCGGGCCUCUUGCCAUCAGAUGUGCCCAGAUGGGAUUAGCUAGUAGGUGGGGUAAUGGCUCACCUAGGCGACGAUCCCUAGCUGGUCUGAGAGGAUGACCAGCCACACUGGAACUGAGACACGGUCCAGACUCCUACGGGAGGCAGCAGUGGGGAAUAUUGCACAAUGGGCGCAAGCCUGAUGCAGCCAUGCCGCGUGUAUGAAGAAGGCCUUCGGGUUGUAAAGUACUUUCAGCGGGGAGGAAGGUGUUGUGGUUAAUAACCGCAGCAAUUGACGUUACCCGCAGAAGAAGCACCGGCUAACUCCGUGCCAGCAGCCGCCGUAACAC
rnacentral:rRNA from 1 species